rnacentral:rRNA from 1 species
UACGUAGGGUGCAGGCGUUACUCGGAAUUACUGGGCGUAAAGCGUGCGCAGGCGGUUUGCUAAGACCGGUGUGAAAUCCCCGGGCUUAACCUGGGAACUGCGCUUGUUACUGGCAAGCUGGAGUGUGGCAGAGGGGGGUGGAAUUCCACGUGUAGCAGUGAAAUGCGCAGAUAUCAGGAGGAACACCAAUGGCGAAGGCAGCUCGCUGGAACGGUACUGACGCUGAGGCGCGAAAGCCAGGGGAGCAAACGGG